rnacentral:rRNA from 1 species
GAGAGUCGCACGCCCCGUAGGAGAGUGGCAGACGGGUGAGUAACGCGUGGUACAUACCCUUUCCUGCGGAAUAGCUCCGGGAAACUGGAAUUAAUACCGCAUACGCCCUACGGGGGAAAGAUUUAUCGGGGAAGGAUUGGCCCGCGUUGGAUUAGCUAGUUGGUGGGGUAAAGGCCUACCAAGGCGACGAUCCAUAGCUGGUCUGAGAGGAUGAUCAGCCACAUUGGGACUGAGACACGGCCCAAACUCCUACGGGAGGCAGCAGUGGGGAAUAUUGGACAAUGGGCGCAAGCCUGAUCCAGCCAUGCCGCGUGAGUGAUGAAGGCCUUAGGGUUGUAAAGCUCUUUCACCGGAGAAGAUAAUGACGGUAUCCGGAGAAGAAGCCCCGGCUAACUUCGUGCCAGCAGCCGCGGUAAUACGAGGGGGGCUAGCGUUGUUCGGAAUUACUGGGCGUAAAGCGCACGUAGGCGGAUAUUUAAGUCAGGGGUGAAAUCCCAGAGCUCAACUCUGGAACUGCCUUUGAUACUGUGUAUCUUGAGUAUGGAAGAGGUAAGUGGAAUUCCGAGUGUAGAGGUGAAAUUCGUAGAUAUUCGGAGGACACCAGUGGCGAAGGCGGCUUACUGGUCCAUUACUGACGCUGAGGUGCGAAAGGUGGGAGCAAACAGGAUUAGAUACCCUGGUAGCUCACGACGUAAACGAUGAUGUUAGCCGUCGGGCAGUAUACUG